GAUGAAGAACGUAGCGAAAUGCGAUAAGUAGUGUGAAUUGCAGAAUUCAGUGAAUCAUCGAAUCUUUGAACGCACAUUGCGCCCCUUGGUAUUCCAUGGGGCAUGCCUGUUCGAGCGUCAUUUGUACCUUCAAGCUUUGCUUGGUGUUGGGUGUUUGUCCAUUCUCUUGCAGAGGGACUCGCCUUAAAGUAAUUGGCAGCCAGUGUUUUGGUUUUGAAGCGCAGCACAAGUCGCGAUUCAAAGCUAUACGCCCGCUUCCACAAGCCUUUUUCACUUUUGACCUCGGAUCAGGUAGGGACACCCGCUGAACUUAAGCAUAUCAAUAAGCGGAGGA
rnacentral:misc_RNA from 1 species